rnacentral:lncRNA from 1 species
UCCAACCAGAUGACAGGUCAUAGAUGAAUCGUCAAACCUCAACAUCAGUCAUAUGAUAGAUUCAAUCAGCUCGAGUCCAUUUGUGAUUCUAUAAAAUUUUUUUUUCAUCAAUCACACUGCUAUGGCCAUAGACUUAAGGACUCAUUCUCUUAAAUCUCAUUGGACUACUCCUUUCUGUUAGUGUCGAUAGAUCCCAUCUUGAUGCACACCCC